UUAAUGGUUUAUCACCUCAGUAUUUGAUCGAGCUCUUAUUACAUUAUAGUCCUCCACCACUGCUGCAUUCUCAAAAAUUAAUAAAAAGUUAAAAAUUUGAUAAUACCUAGAAUAUCAAAAUCAACUGCGGGCAGCAGAUCCUUUUCCUAUUUAUCUGGAAUAAUCUACCUAACAUUGUUCGGGAGGCAAACACACUCUGUCAGUUUAAAUCUAGAUUAAAGACCCACCUCUUUAACCUGGCUUACACAUAACACACUAACACAUUUCUAAUAUUCAAAUCCAUUAAAGUAUUUUUAGGCUGUGUUAAUUAGGUCAACUGGAACCAGGAACACUUCCCAUAACACCCAGUGUACUUGUUACAUUGUAGAAGAAUGGCAUCUACGCUAAUAUUAGUCUGUUUCUUUCUUAUUCCGAGGUCACUGUAGCCACCAGAUCCAGUCUGUAUCAGAUCAGUUGGUCACUGCAGUCACCCAGAUUCAGUAAGUAUCCAGCCCAGAUGGUGGAUCAGCAGCAGAACCAUCAAAGAUUGUGUCAAAGCAACUGAACAACAUUAAUUAGGAAAACAGUGUGUCAAUAAUGCAAAAUGACAGUUAAAGGCAGUUCAUCAUUGAAUUCAGUGAUGUCAUCAUGCAGCUCAGUUCAGUUUAAAUAGUAAAUGAAGUGUCCCCAACUAAGCAAGGCAGAGGCGACAGCGGCAAGGAACCAAAACUCCAUCGGUGACAGAAUGGAGAAAAAACCUUGGGAGAAACCAGGCUCAGUCGGGGGGCCAGUUCUCCUCUGACCAGACGAAACCAGCAGUUCAAUUCCAGGCUGCAGCAAAGUCAGAUUGUGCAGAAGAAUCAUCUGUUUCCUAUGGUCUUGUCCCGGUGGUCGUCUGAGACAAGGUCUUUACAGGGGAUCUGUCUCUGGGGCUCUAGUCCUGGUCUCCGCUGUCUUUCAGGGCUGUAGAGGUCCUUUCUAGGUGCUGAUCCACCAUCUGGGCUGGAUACUUACUGAAUCUGGGUGACUGCAGUGACCCUCUGACUUGGAUACAGACUGGAUCUGGUGGCUACGGUGACCUCGGAAUAAGAGAGAAACAGACUAAAAUUAGCGUAGAUGCCAGCAAGUAG
ensembl:lncRNA